GACGGAGGAUGCAAGCGUUAUCCGGAAUGAUUGGGCGUAAAGCGUCUGCAGGUGGCAGUUCAAGUCUGCUGUCAAAGACCGGGGCUUAACUUCGGAAAGGCAGUGGAAACUGAACAGCUAGAGUAUGGUAGGGGCAGAGGGAAUUCCUGGUGUAGCGGUGAAAUGCGCAGAUAUCAGGAGGAACACCGGUGGCGAAGGCGGGUCUCUGGGCAGUAACUGACGCUGAGGAGCGAAAGCGUGGGGAGCGAACAGG
rnacentral:rRNA from 1 species